UACGUAGGGUGCAAGCGUUGUCCGGAAUUAUUGGGCGUAAAGAGCUCGUAGGCGGUUUGUCGCGUCUGCUGUGAAAACGCGAGGCUCAACCUCGCGCCUGCAGUGGGUACGGGCAGACUGGAGUGCGGUAGGGGAGAUUGGAAUUCCUGGUGUAGCGGUGGAAUGCGCAGAUAUCAGGAGGAACACCGAUGGCGAAGGCAGAUCUCUGGGCCGUUACUGACGCUGAGGAGCGAAAGCGUGGGGAG
rnacentral:rRNA from 1 species